GGAUGAUGUGGAUUAAUUCGAUGCAACGCGAAAAACCUUACCUACCCUUGACUUGCCACUCNCGAAGCAGAGAUGCAUCAGGUGCCCGAAAGGGAAAGUGGACACAGGUGCUGCAUGGCUGUCGUCAGCUCGUGUCGUGAGAUGUUGGGUUAAGUCCCGCAACGAGCGCAACCCUUGUCUUUNGUUGCUACGCAAGAGCACUCUAGAGAGACUGCCNGUGACAAACCGGAGGAAGGUGGGGAUGACGUCAAGUCCUCAUGGCCCUUAUGGGUAGGGCUUCACACGUCAUACAAUGGUGCG
rnacentral:rRNA from 1 species